rnacentral:rRNA from 1 species
UACGUAGGGGGCAAGCGUUGUCCGGAAUCAUUGGGCGUAAAGCGCGUGUAGGCGGCCCGAUAAGUCCGCUGUGAAAGUCCAGGGCUCAACCCUGGGAUGCCGGUGGAUACUGUCGGGCUCGAGUCCGGAAGAGGCGAGUGGAAUUCCUGGUGUAGCGGUGAAAUGCGCAGAUAUCAGGAAGAACACCCGUGGCGAAGGCGGCUCUCUGGGACGGUACUGACGCUGAGACGCGAAAGCGUGGGGAGCGAACAGG